rnacentral:rRNA from 1 species
CCUACGGGAGGCAGCAGUAGGGAAUAUUGCUCAAUGGGGGAAACCCUGAAGCAGCAACGCCGCGUGGAGGAUGAAGGUUUUCGGAUUGUAAACUCCUUUUGUUAGAGAAGAUAAUGACGGUAUGUAACGAAUAAGCACCGGCUAACUCCGUUCCAGCAGCCGCGGUAAGACGGAGGGUGCAAGCGUUACUCGGAAUCACUGGGCGUAAAGAGCGCGUAGGCGGGAUAGCAAGUCCGAUGUGAAAUCCUAUGGCUUAACCAUAGAACUGCAUUUGAAACUGUUAUUCUUGAGUAGGGGAGAGGUAGGUGGAAUUCGUGGUGUAGGGGUAAAAUCCGUAGAGAUCAAGAGGAAUACUCAUUGCGAAGGCGACCUGCUAGAACAUAACUGACGCUGAUGCGCGAAAGCGUGGGGAGCAAACAGGAUUAGAUACCCCAGUAGUC